AUAUCAAAGUGUAGUCUCUGUUGUUAUCAGCUUAAUAUCUGAUACGUCCUCCAUCGGAGGACAUCGAUAUUAAACUGAUUUUUGGACUAAGGUUGGACCGGUAUUGCUUGACCUCUCCUCACCACGGGUUGGCCCGGUAUUGCACUACC
rnacentral:snRNA from 1 species